rnacentral:rRNA from 1 species
AGUGAACGCUAGUGGCGUGCUUAACACAUGCAAGUCGAACGGACGAUAUUUGUGCUUGCACAAAUAAAGUUAGUGGCAAACGGGUGAGUAAUACAUGAGAAUUUUCCUUGCAGUACGGAAUAACUAUUGGAAACAGUAGCUAAUACCGUAUAUUGCCGAGAGGUGAAAGAUUUAUCGCUGCAAGAUAAGCCCAUGCAAGAUUAGCUAGUUGGUGAGGUAAUGGCCUACCAAGGCGACGAUCCAUAGCUGGUCUGAGAGGAUGAUCAGCCACACUGGGACUGAGACACGGCCCAGACUCCUACGGGAGGCAGCAGUGGGGAAUAUUGGACAAUGGGGGAAACCCUGAUCCAGCAAUGCCGCGUGAGUGAUGAAGGCCCUAGGGUUGUAAAGCACUUUCACCGGUGAAGAUAAUGACGGUAACCAGAGAAGAAGCCCCGGCUAACUUCGUGCCAGCCGCCGCCGUAAAAC